UUCGCUUUCGAUCUCUGGCUGUCACCCGGCCUGGCCCCUUCCACGCCCAGCCGGGGCAAGCCUGAUCUGGCCAUAGGCAUGAGGGGCCUCCGGCCGAGAUGAUAGUGCUGGCGCCAGCCUGGAGCCCAACUACCUCCCUGCUGCUGCUGCUACUGCUCAGCCCUGGCCUCCGCGGGUCCCCCGACUGUUCCUUCAGCCACAGCCCCAUCUCCUCCACCUUCAAGGUCACCAUCCGAAAGCUGUCUGAUUACCUGCUUCAGGAUUACCCAGUCACCGUCGCCUCCAACCUACAGGACGACGAGCUCUGUGGGCCAUUCUGGCGCCUGGUCCUGGCCCAGCGCUGGAUGGGUCGGCUCAAGGCUGUGGCUGGGUCCCAGAUGCAAAGCCUGCUGGAGGCGGUCAACACCGAGAUACAUUUUGUCACCUUGUGUGCCUUCCAGCCCCUCCCCAGCUGUCUUCGAUUCGUCCAGACCAACAUCUCCCACCUCCUGCAGGACACCUCCGAGCAGCUGGCGGCCUUGAAGCCCUGGAUCACCCGCAGGAAUUUCUCGGGGUGCCUGGAGCUACAGUGUCAGCCCGACUCCUCCACCCCACUGCCCCCAAGGAGCCCCAGGGCCUUGGGGGCCACAGCCCUGCCAGCCCCUCAGGCCCCUCUGCUGCUCCUCCUGCUGCUGUUGCCUGUGGCUCUCUUGCUGAUGUCCGCUGCCUGGUGCCUGCACUGGCGAAGGAGGAGAUGGAGAACGCCCUACCCCAGGGAGCAGCCCCGUGAGACAGACACAUGUAUCAUCCCGUUUACAGAGGAAGACACUGAGGCCCAGAGAGAGGAAUCACCUGCCCGAGGACACAGAGCCGGGACUCGGAGAAAGUCAGCUAGAGACUGGUUCCUUCCUCGACCACGCUGCCCCGCUCACUCUCCCCCCAGGAUGGAGGCAACGCCAACCCCCAACGCCAGCCCCAGACCCACCUAUCCCCCUCUGUACAAAGUCCUUGUCCCCAGGAAAUUGUAUAUAAAUCAUCCUUUUCUACCAGCUCUGGCCAGGCCUGUCUGUAGGUGGGACGUGGUGUGGACGGGGCAGUUUGCUUGUGAGUCUCGGUUUUUCGGUUAACGCAAUGCUUCAUUCAGUAGCCGUUUUCUGACGCCUCCUGGGGCCCAGAGCCAGUGCAUGGCACUGCGGGGACCCAGAUGCGGGUCAGAACCCACCCAGCCCCCUCAGGGCUCCUGAUCUAUGGGGGAGAAGACACGGGACCCCUCUGGGGUCAGUACAGCGUGACACGUUCUGAUGGCAGGAGAACAGGCACUGUGGGAGCCCAGAGGAGGUACCCGGGCCAGCCCCAGACACCGGGGAAGCUCUCUGGAGGAAAGGACCCCAGCCAAAAAGCACUGGGAUUGUGACAUGCCAGAUACUAGAAGGUGGGGCUGGAGAGGAGGACAUCGCAGGUAAGGGACGCAGCAGAAGCCAUCUGGAGUCAUUCCCUCAUACACUCUCGGAUCGCAUAGGGAAAACGACUUCCACCUGUUUUACAGAUGAGGACGUUGAGGUCUAGACAGGCGAGGGGUUUGGCCAGGUCAUAAGGAGGCACACCAGGCACCGGACCCAGACCUACCCAGUCUAGACUGGGCCCUGAACAGAAAGCCUCGUUGCCCUCUGCGGGCCACCACGUGCCCUGCAGCCUGCGCUCGCUUUAGCAGGCGAGCCCCCGCCCUAGAGGGAGAUUAGCAGCCCCUCAAAAAUAUGGCGGCCGAGGCUGGCCAGCCCCGCCCCAGCUGAGCCGUCCUACCCCCACGUGAUCUCUCGCCCCUCACAGCAAUGGCUAUCUAAGAGCCGGCGAGAAGAAUUGGACCCGGAUUGGACAGUCGGGAGACGGCCCGCCUUCUAGCGGGGCCUCUCUGCGCACGCGCUAGACGCUUCAACCAAUGCAAAGACGGAAAGCUGCCCGCACAGCCCAUGCGGCGUCACUUCCUCCGCCCCUGUUUCAAGGGAUAAGAAACCCUGCGCAGAGCCUUCCUCCUUUCCUAGGCGGCUGCCGAAGAUGGCGGAGGCUCAGGUGAGGAGGCUGGAGAUUUUUAGCCAAAGUCACAUUGUCAGGAAGUCUGGCUUUAGAUUCUGUACCCUUCUGCCUUCCAACAAUCACAAGUAUAUAACAAGCACUCGGUCCUGGUGCUCGAUGGCAGAGGCCAUCUCCUGGGCCGCCUGGCGGCCAUUGUGGCCAAACAGGUGCUGCU